UACUCGCGGUCCAAGUCGCAACCAUUUUUAUUGGGUCUAAAACAUCCGUAGCUUGCUUAAUAAGUUUCUUGUGAAAUCUCAUAUCUCAAGUAUGAGGCGAGCAAGAAGUACUAUUAAGCUAGAGACUGGAAGACGUAAGAAGUAUGUUCAAAGUAGCAGUAAAAUGUUUUAAUCUUGGACAGACUCACAACAGCGAAGGCAUCUUACGAGGACAGUUCUGACAGUAAGGGAUGAAGGCCAGGGGCGCAAAACGG
rnacentral:rRNA from 1 species